AGAGUUCGAUCCUGGCUCAGGAUGAACGCUGGCGGCGCGCCUAACACAUGCAAGUCGAACGGCACCCCUCUCCGGAGGGAAGCGAGUGGCGAACGGCUGAGUAACACGUGGAGAACCUGCCCCCUCCCCCGGGAUAGCCGCCCGAAAGGACGGGUAAUACCGGAUACCCCGGGGUGCCGCAUGGCACCCCGGCUAAAGCCCCGACGGGAGGGGAUGGCUCCGCGGCCCAUCAGGUAGACGGCGGGGUGACGGCCCACCGUGCCGACAACGGGUAGCCGGGUUGAGAGACCGACCGGCCAGAUUGGGACUGAGACACGGCCCAGACUCCUACGGGAGGCAGCAGUGGGGAAUCUUGCGCAAUGGGGGGAACCCUGACGCAGCGACGCCGCGUGCGGGACGGAGGCCUUCGGGUCGUAAACCGCUUUCAGCAGGGAAGAGUCAAGACUGUACCUGCAGAAGAAGCCCCGGCUAACUACGUGCCAGCAGCCGCGGUAAUACGUAGGGGGCGAGCGUUAUCCGGAUUCAUUGGGCGUAAAGCGCGCGUAGGCGGCCCGGCAGGCCGGGGGUCGAAGCGGGGGGCUCAACCCCCCGAAGCCCCCGGAACCUCCGCGGCUUGGGUCCGGUAGGGGAGGGUGGAACACCCGGUGUAGCGGUGGAAUGCGCAGAUAUCGGGUGGAACACCGGUGGCGAAGGCGGCCCUCUGGGCCGAGACCGACGCUGAGGCGCGAAAGCUGGGGGAGCGAACAGGAUUAGAUACCCUGGUAGUCCCAGCCGUAAACGAUGGACGCUAGGUGUGGGGGGACGAUCCCCCCGUGCCGCAGCCAACGCAUUAAGC
rnacentral:rRNA from 1 species